AAUAAGCGAGUGGGGAAGAGCCAGCCCCACGCCGGUCCGCCUCCCGCCCGCUGCCGGGCCUCCCUCCCGCCUGCCCGCCGCCUGGCUCGGAGAUCCUUCGCCCAGAGUUCUCCAUUCCCAGGAUCCCGGGCUCGCGGGGGUGCGGAGAAGAGGACCCAGGAAAGGUUUGGGAACGUGAUGGGUUUGGGGCCUGGGGGGAGGGGCCGGUUUCUCGCCACCCCAUCCUCUCCCUGCUGGGAGCUGUGCUCCACCAGCCUCUGGCUGGAUCCUUAGCUCCCUUUCUCUACCUCGGACAUUCCCGGGACAAUUAAGGCUGAAGUUUUCGGGAGAAGCGCCCCGUGCCCGUGGGAUAAGGGGGCGGCUCGGCUCCGCCCAGGACCCCUCCCGAACCUCCCCCCAGCCGCCCCGGUUGGCUGCAGGGCGCGUCACUCCGCGGGGAGGCGGCGGCCACCGUGGCGCCGCCAAGCCCCGGGCGGGUGGAGAGCAGGGACCUGCCCGGUUCCGAGUUCAGCCUUGGCAGGAGGGAGGGGAGGGGCGCCUCUAAUCCAGUGCUGGGCAGCGCGCCCCCGGCCAGGGAGGUGCAGUUGAAGCCGAACCCUAGGCACCGCCUCUACCCAGGACCCCUUUGCUCUCUACCCUAGCCGCCUCCUCGUCUGCGACGAGGUGGCUUCCCUAAGCCCAGGAGUGAGUGAGAGGGGAGGGGGUCCUAUCAGCUGCCCCCUAGUUACGCCGCAACUCGCCUUCAAUUUUUCGACACUUGCCACGCGCGGUGCCCAAACUUUUCGCUCCGUCUCCAUCUCCCAGGGGGGGGGGGAUAACAGCCUCCCUUACCCGAGUUUGGGACCCAGGAAUCCGGGCCCUGCUCUCCCUCUUCCGUGCUUAGGCGCCCGCGAAUCUAGGUCUGGUCCUGAGCUUAGUCUAUAUCUCCUCCCGCCUCGGGGUUUCCGCUAGCCGAGGUUCCCGAAGUCUUGCGCCUGAAGGACUAAACUAACUAAACUUCGGCUGAGUAAUGGGGGUGGAGGCGGGGGAGGGGUGCAGAUACUCAAUCCUUGCCCUAUCUCGCGAUCGGGAGAGGAGAGGGCUCAUAAGGACGCCCCAAUUCUGGAGCGCCUUUGAGUCUGGAUCGAGCCACAGUCGGCUCGCGCGAAGUGGGCACCAGCCUUCGCGGCAGAGCCUUUUAGAGCCUCAGAAUUCAGUACCCAUAUCGCACUCUCCUAAAUGGCCUUUUUUCUUCUCCGAUUUUUUUCUUUUUCCCUUAAUUUUUUUUUGUGUUAAAGUAUCUUUCUCAUCUGCUGUCUUUAGUCUUAGUAUAACUUCUCCCUUCUUUCAAUCUCCCUGUUCACUCUUCCUACCUCUUCUUAGUUUUGCCCUUGCUCGCCCACCCCUCGCGCGUCUCCCGCUCUCCUCUGUCGCAUCUCGCUCUUCGCCUCUCCACAGUUUCUGUUGGGUACUGUAGAUUUUGAUAAAAAGACAAACGAAGCUAUCAGUGGGUCUGAUGUUGAAGAAUGAAGAUAAUAAUGUUUCCAUAGGUGGUGUUUCAAAUGCCAUUAUUUCUCACUGAAUAUUUAAAGAGAUCCCUCGGCAAAGAUGGAUUUGUGCGCUCCUGGGGUGUGAGCCUCUCACUUGCCCCAAACCCCCGGGAACGUGAUCAGACCUGAGCAUUUUUAAACCCAGCACUCGCCCCCACCCCGUAAACCGGCGCUCUUGAAAACACACCAUCGCGCACCCUCCAGGGUGCACCGACGUUUCCAGGCGCACUUGCGCCGGUGUUUGGAUCCCUCCUGAGCAGUCUGUAACAUUCUUGCCUUCUUGAAAGUCCCGACCUCCGGGCAAUCCAGUGGCCAGAAACCCAGUGGAGCUGGAGGUCCUACAAACCCUUCUCAUGGUGUGCUACUCGGGAAGAUCCAGGGAGAAGCUUCACACGUGCUCUCUGUUGGCUCUAUGUGUGAUUAAGAGUGGGGGGACGCCCCACACAAAUAACGAACGAAAACGCAAAAACUGCUUCACUCCGUUUAAUUAAAAAUGGGCGAGCGGAGACGAAUUAAUUGGGGGUAUCUAAACUUUUAUAACUUUUUUCGUUUUUUUGAGUCCUCGACGACAUAGAGGCGGGCGCCUGACUCUACGAGCGGCAUCCCCCGCUAAUUUCUUGUUUGUUUUCUUUCCCUUUGGCCGGGAGAGAGAUGAGAGGAGGUGGAGGAGGGGGAUGGGAGGAAGGGGACGGUUGAAAUGGCCGGGAGAGGAGAAUUGGUCUUUAUUGUUGGUGGCGAUACAUCAAUUACAGGCCAUUGUCUCGAGCCCAAGUUACGCGGUUCGCUGGUGCGGUCGCCAAAGUGUCAGCAAGCUGGCAAGGCCCCGCGUGCCGCGGAGCAAAGACAUAAUUAAAUCAAUAAAAAUGGACAUAGAGUGAGGGUUAAUUUUUAUUUUUGAACCGGUCGAGAAAGCGAAGGCCAGUGAAGUGCCACAGCUGGGGUCCCUCCGACCGCUCAGCACACCUCCAGGCCAGAGCACUCUAUGGGGGUCCUGCCCUCCCAACCGCGGAUGGGGGCUGCUUCUGGGAAAUACGGCGAAGAGGUUGUGGCUUGGAGGUUCCUCAGGAAGGCCUGAUAUUUGGGGAUAGACACCCAAUAGGGAAUGUCAGUGGUCCGAAGUGAAGUGACAGCUGCGCAGGGGUCGCGACCUCUUGGACCAAGACGAAACGCACCCUGGGGAGGCGCUUAGCAGUUGUGCAAACUGCCUUGGGAGGGGGGGGGUCUCUGUUCCUUCCACUGUAUCACCUCAGUUUCCCGAUGUCUAGUUUGUCCUCAGUGAGUUGGCUGACCCGAGGGCCGUGGCCUAAAGCCGCUGCCACAGCCUAGUUCCCAAGGAAGGGAUUUCCGUGUAUCGUUUUGUUUUUAGGACGGGGUGGUGGCAUGAAGUCCUUUCAUUCCGAGGCCUGGUUCUUCUGUCGGUAAAGUUUUCUAAUUAUGGCCCAGUCCGACCCCGGUGUGGGAUGGGACCUGAGUUGAGGCCUUGUGUGGGCCCCUGACUCUCGGGUUCCAUCGAUGCAGGUUGAACACUACACCCGAAGUGGAGAUGGUUCCUAAGCGCGUUGGCUAUGCCCCAGCUUCCGAAAUCUCCAGUCCAAGGCCCCAGGCCGGGACUACCAGAGCAGUAGAGGAGGUUUCGUUUUCCUGCGCCGGGCAAAAAGCGGCAAAAAGGCGGCAGCGGCGCCCUGGGGGCGGGGAGCAAGCGCGUCGAUGGUAUCAACAUUAUUGAUGAGAAAACGUUCAGGGCAGGAGCCGGGAGAUCAGGUUCCCAGUCCCUCCCCUCCCCGGAGGUGGGUGGGGCCAAGUGGGUGGUGAGCUUGUUGUGCAUGGAGUGUGUGUGUCUCUGUGUCUGUGUGUGUUUGGGGAUGGGGCGGCUGGAUGCAUCACCAUUAACCACCUGGGGUUUAUUUGUGUUUUUCUUGCCUGGAUGCCUGCCGGGUGGGAGUGGGAGGAAGAGGGAAGAAAGAUUGAGGUGGUUUGUUCUUCUGCCCUUAAGGUUCUUUUCUGGAUUUGGGGUUUGGGGUUGUUGGUGGUGAUGAUGACAUAAGACAAAAUACAAACUUGGAAAGCAUUCCGUAGGUUCGGCCUUUUUCCAAACUUGAAACUGCGCUGUCCUGGGAAUUUCACAGACUCUUUUCUUAAGCGAACUGCUGUAGUUCAAAUACUAACCUCCUCUAAGAUCUUGGCGCAGCUUCGAACCCGAGGCCUUGGGAGAGCGAACUGUGUGCUCUGCCCAGCAGCUCACUCCUGGCGAAGUGGAGAAGGACACAGAUUGGGGGUGGGGGGACAAACCCCUGAUCACCCGCAAGGACCUUUUCUAGACUUGUGUUCCUGCGGCGCGAAGACAAGACGCCCAGGUGCUGGUUCUAGAAGGAAAUUCAGUCGCGUGCAACGGAGGCAGGAUUCCACCCGGGCAGUGGAUCCCAGAGCAUGGAAAACUUCGUCUUCCUCUCCUUAGAAGGUCCAAUCAGACCGUCAGCCUCUUCGAACCUGCAUUUCUAAAUGGCAUACUGGUGCCUUCUAGAUCCAACUCCAGCGGCAGCCACAAUACGCUUCUCUUCAAGCUAACAUCUAGCUUAAUAAGCAGCAGGGAAUUUGAGAUAGAUACUUCCACUCCCCACCUCCAAACCUGAGCCGCCUUGCUUUCUCUCAGGAGAGAUUUCUGAAACCAUCCACGUUCCAAAGGCAAAGUGAAGAAGGAGCUCUUGUCUUUUUUUCUCCCCUCACAGGAUGCCAUUCUGAUCUCUGUCUGACUUUACCAUUUCCCUAACUUGCCCUAGACCGUUUGGCAUAUUUUGUAUUAAAAUACAAUCCCAAGAGGAUCGCCCCCCUGAA